rnacentral:rRNA from 1 species
UACGUAGGGUGCAAGCGUUGUCCGGAAUUAUUGGGCGUAAAGAGCUCGUAGGCGGUCUGUCGCGUCGGCUGUGAAAACUCGGGGCUCAACCCCGAGCCUGCAGUCGAUACGGGCAGACUAGAGUGCGGUAGGGGAGACUGGAAUUCCUGGUGUAGCGGUGAAAUGCGCAGAUAUCGGGAGGAACACCAGUGGCGAAGGCGGUUGCCUGGAGCUUUGCUGACGCUGAGGCGCGAAAGCGUGGGGAGCGAUCCGG